rnacentral:rRNA from 1 species
AUUGAACGCUGGCGGCAGGCUUAACACAUGCAAGUCGAGCGGGGGAGGUUGCUUCGGUAACUGACCUAGCGGCGGACGGGUGAGUAAUGCUUAGGAAUCUGCCUAUUAGUGGGGGACAACAUUCCGAAAGGAAUGCUAAUACCGCAUACGCCCUACGGGGGAAAGCAGGGGAGCUUCGGACCUUGCGCUAAUAGAUGAGGCUAAGUCGGAUUAGCUAGUUGGUGGGGUAAAGGCCUACCAAGGCGACGAUCGGUAGCGGGUCUGAGAGGAUGAUCCGCCACACUGGGACUGAGACACGGCCCAGACUCCUACGGGAGGCAGCAGUGGGGAAUAUUGGACAAUGGGCGGAAGCCUGAUCCAGCCAUGCCGCGUGUGUGAAGAAGGCCUUAUGGUUGUAAAGCACUUUAAGCGAGGAGGAGGCUACUUUAGUUAAUACCUAGAGAUAGUGGACGUUACUCGCAGAAUAAGCACCGGCUAACUCUGUGCCAGCCGCCGCAGUAAAAC